rnacentral:lncRNA from 1 species
UGGAUAUCACAAUAAACCUCAAUGAGUUCAAAGAUAGGAAAACCUAUCCAAUUGCUUCUUAUGCAACUCUCAACAUAACCUGCUUCUAAAAAUACUCAUAGCCUUAUGGAUAUCACAACAAACUAUAAUAUUUUUUAGUUAAGUCACACCCUUCAUUUUCAUACAGUCAUAUUUGAAAAAUGAUACCUUUAUAGAUAUCACAAUAAAGCAACAUAUCCAAAUAUACUAUAAAGCAUAUAAUAUGCACCAAGACAAAUCCACAUCAAUCCCCAUAGCAAGUCUUAUGGAUAUUACAACAAAUCUACUAUAAUUUUUUAUAGGAUAUUGACUAGGC